rnacentral:rRNA from 1 species
AACGAACGCUGGCGGCGUGGAUAAGACAUGCAAGUCGAACGCUGAUUGCGGAAUAGCAAUAUUUGGCAGUCGGAGUGGCGAAAGGGUGCGUAACACGUGGGCAAUUUACCGCGAAGCUCGGGACAACUCCGAGAAAUCGGAGCUAAUACCGGAUGUGACUACCUGGGGGCAUCCCUGGGUGGUUAAAGUUGGGGACCGAAAGGCCUGACACUUGGCGAUAAGCCCGCGGCCUAUCAGCUAGUUGGCGGGUAACGGCCCACCAAGGCGAAGACGGGUAGCUGGUCUGAGAGGACGACCAGCCACACUGGAACUGAGACACGGUCCAGACACCUACGGGAGGCUG